rnacentral:rRNA from 1 species
UACGGGGGGGGCAAGCGUUGUUCGGAUUCACUGGGCGUAAAGGGUGCGUAGGUGGUCGGGUAAGUCUGAUGUGAAAUCUCCGGGCCUAACCCGGAAACUGCAUCGGAUACUAUUCGGCUGGAGGGUUGGAGGGGGGACUGGAAUACUUGGUGUAGCAGUGAAAUGCGUAGAUAUCAAGUGGAACACCAGUGGCGAAGGCGAGUCCCUGGACAACUCCUGACACUGAGGCACGAAAGCUAGGGGAGCAAACAGG